rnacentral:rRNA from 1 species
UACAGAGGGGGCAAGCGUUGUUCGGAAUUACUGGGCGUAAAGGGCGCGUAGGCGGCCUGUUAAGUCGAACGUGAAAUCCCCGGGCUCAACCCGGGAACUGCGUCCGAUACUGGCAGGCUUGAAUCCGGGAGAGGGAUGCGGAAUUCCAGGUGUAGCGGUGGAAUGCGUAGAGAUCCGGAAGAACACCGGUGGCGAAGGCGGCCUGCUGGGCAGUAGCUGACGCUGAGGCGCGACAGCGUGGGGAGCAAACAGG